UCUCUCUCUCUCUCUCAUUCUCUCAUUAAUCGUUCAAAUCAUCACACAAAAACCCUAGAGGCGAUAUCUUCUACCUCCUCCAGAUUUCAAUCUCCCUCUUCCGGACCAGUGAACAAUCGACGGUAAUCUCAGUGGUUUAUUUAUCAUCUGCCUCUCUCUCUCUCUCUCUCUCUCUCUCUGAAGAUCAUCGGCGACUAACCUCAAUCGAAGCUUAGGGUUUGAAAUUUAGUUUCUUCAAGGAACUGGUUCAAAUAUGAGAAUCUAAAUCGACUAUGGGCAAGAUCCAGUACUCCGAGAAGUAUUUUGAUGAUACAAUUGAUCACAAGUUGCAUGUUGUUCUUACUCAUGAAGUUGUGAAGCUUUUUCCAAAGAAUUGACUUAUACCCGAGGUAUAACAGUAUAAGCUUAAACGUUACUGAUUAAUGGAUUUUGAAAGCAAGAUUUUUGGAAAAGGCUAAAACUGGUGGAGUAAGUAAUGGAUCAGAAUGCGAAAAAACAAGAAUGGGCAUGCUACUAUCCCUCCAUGUUGCUUGAAAGCGCAGGUUUUGCUGAACUAGAAGCCAAUUGUCAUGGUACCGUUGUUUCAAGAUGGUUCAUUGAGCAUCGGGAUUCAUCUGUUAUGUACCGCUUCCAUGUGUAUAUUCAGUCUUAGCAAACGCAUGUUCAGGUCAGUCACAAGGUAAUUGUGUAUGAUAAUGAAUUUUCAUCAUGCCUUUCGGUUGCUUCAAUUAUGAGGUUACAAACAGCUGCCAUGUUGGCACUAACAAAUGAUUCAGAUGCUGACUCGGCCAUAAUGCAUAAACAAAUCGCCUAGGCCCUGUGCCCAACAAAUCGCCUUGAGUGCGCCUCGCGCCUUUAAUAACUAUGUCCAGAUGUAUGCGCUAUAAUUUCUCCGAAAUAGAUAUUACAAGUUUUCAAGACAAAGCUAGAUCUGUGGAUGACAAUUUUUUUUUGUUAAUGGAUGCCGCUUAGAGCCGAACUGAUGAGGAAUGAAAAUAUAGUAAGGCCUUUACCCUGGAACGGGAAGCAGAAGUCUUAGAAUCGAAGCGGAAGAAUGAAGAACUGAAAUAGUCCAAAGUUUUUAGUUCUCUAUUUCCUAUAGGGAAGUGAUGGUUAAAAAGAACAAUCACUGUAGGUGCAUGUGACAACCCGUAAUUCUCGAGUUUUUCAUGUGAAGUGUAGCCGGAAGGAUACCAACAAAAGUGGAGCUGGAUAAGAGAGGAGUGCAAUGGUGCCUUUGCUUCGGAUACCUACCAGAAUCAGUGGACCAUGUAUUGGUUUCAUGCAUCCUCUCCAAAUCGAUUUGGUGGGGAACGGAGUGUGGCUUGGGUUGAACAAUCUUUCAGCAUGUUCAACUGUCUAAGAAGUGAUCAAAUCUGUGAUGGAUGAACGUUAUCUAAGAGGCAAAGGAAGGCUGCACUGUGUGUUGUCUUGACUGUACCGUGGAAGAUAUGGUGGCAUAGAAACCGGCGUGAAGUUGCUUAUACUAGAUUAUGAUGAGAAUGAAAGAAAUAAACAUUUCAAAGUAAAUAAUAUGGUUUUGGAUGAAGCCGCGCAUCGCGCGGGCAUUAGCCUAGUUAACGAAUAUAACAUGAUAAUGAAA
rnacentral:lncRNA from 1 species